rnacentral:rRNA from 1 species
GAUCAUGGCUCAGGAUGAACGCUGGCGGCGUGCUUAACACAUGCAAGUCGAACGGAGCGCCCUUGAUGGAGGAUUCGUCCAACUGAUAGGGUUGCUUAGUGGCGGACGGGUGAGUAACGCGUGAGGAACCUGCCUUGGAGUGGGGAAUAACAGUUAGAAAUUUGUGCUAAUACCGCAUACGGAACAGUUACCGCAUGGUAGCAGUUUGAAAGAUUUAUCGCUAAUGGAUGGACUCGCGUCUGAUUAGAUAGUUGGUAGGGUAACGGCCUACCAAGUCGACGAUCAGUAGCCGAACUGAGAGGUUGAUCGGCCACAUUGGGACUGAGACACGGCCCAGACUCCUACGGGAGGCAGCAGUGGGGGAUAUUGCGCAAUGGGGGAAACCCUGACGCAGCAACGCCGCGUGCAGGAUGACGGCCUUCGGGUUGUAAACUGUUGUCGCAAGGGAAGAAGACAGUGACGGUACCUUGUGAGAAAGCCACGGCUAACUACGUG